rnacentral:snRNA from 1 species
GUUCUUACUUUGGCAGCACAUAUACUGAAAUUGGAAUGAUACAGCGAAGAUUAGCAUGGCCCCUGUGCAAGGAUGACAUGCAAAUUUGUGAAGCGUUCCAUAUCUUU